GACGAACGCUGGCGGCGUGCUUAACACAUGCAAGUCGAACGGAAAGGCCCUGCUGUUUUGGGGUGCUCGAGUGGCGAACGGAUGGGUAACACGUGAGUAACCUGCCCUUGACUUUGGGAUAACUUCAGGAAACUGGGGCUAAUAACGGAUAAGAGCUCCUGCUGCAUGGUGGGGGUUGGAAAGGUUCGGCGGUCGGAGAUGGAUUCGCGGCUUAUCAGCUUGUUGGUGGGGUAGUGGCUUACCAAUGCUUUGAGGGGUAGCCGGCCUGAGAGGGUGAACGGCGACAUGGGGACUAAGAUACGGCGCAGACUGCUACAGGAGGCAGCAGUGGGGAGUCUUGCGCAGUGGGGGGAAGUCUGAGGCAGCAACGCCGCGUGCGGAAAGACGGCCUUCGGGUGGUAAACCGCUUUCGCCUGUGACGAAGCGUGAGUGACGGUAAUGGGUAAAGAAGCACCGGCUAACUACGUG
rnacentral:rRNA from 1 species